rnacentral:rRNA from 1 species
GAUGAACGCUGGCGGCGUGCCUAAUACAUGCAAGUCGAGCGAACAGACGAGGAGCUUGCUCCUCUGACGUUAGCGGCGGACGGGUGAGUAACACGUGGAUAACCUACCUCUAAGACUGGGAUAACUUCGGGAAACCGGAGCUAAUACCGGAUAAUAUAUUGAACCGCAUGGUUCAAUAGUGAAAGACGGUUUUGCUGUCACUUAUAGAUGGAUCCGCGCCGCAUUAGCUAGUUGGUAAGGUAACGGCUUACCAAGGCAACGAUGCGUAGCCGACCUGAGAGGGUGAUCAGCCACACUGGAACUGAGACACGGUCCAGACUCCUACGGGAGGCAGCAGUAGGGAAUCUUGCGCAAUGGGCGAAAGCCUGACGGAGCAACGCCGCGUGAGUGAUGAAGGUCUUCGGAUCGUAAAACUCUGUUAUUAGGGAAGAACAAAUGUGUAAGUAAUUAUGCACGUCUUGACGGUACCUAAUCAGAAAGCCACGGCUAACUACGUG